rnacentral:tRNA from 1 species
AGGGCUGUAGCUCAGUGGUAGAGCACUUGCCUUGAAGGUGUGAGACCCUGAUUUCGAUCCUCAGCACCACAU